GCAGCCCUGUGAUGACCUGGCGACUUGUCCAGGGUGUACCCCGCCUUUCGCCCGUAGUCAGCUGGGAUAGGCUCCAGCUUGCCUGCGACCCUGUAGAAGGAUAAAGCGGCUAGAGAUAAUGAGAUGAGAUGAGAUGAAAUGUGGUGAUUGUGAUAUCUGUUUAUUUCUGUAAUGUCUCACAAAAUAUCAGGCCAUUCUGUGGCUGGGAAGUUAUUUAAUUUGAGGGGAUUAAAGCAAAUAAUGUGCAUGAAAUCGCUCGCUUGGCGCAGUCAAGCAGACAGAGGAAGUCUGUGUGCGCAUGCGCAGGUUUACCUUCUCCUUUUGGGUUUUACGGCAGCUGGCAUCCACAGUGUUGCAUUACUGCCAUCUACAGGUUUCCCUUUGAGCGUGCACUGACAGUUCCAUCAUUCUGUCGCUAAACGAACAGCUGAUCACACCGAGGUGCUCGCUGAGCGCACAUAUUUAUUAGUUUGGUCCUGCGUUUCCUUUCCUUCGUAUAGAACAUAACGUCUUUUCUUCUCGCUUUCUGUUAUUGCAGUUGGUCUUUCACAUUUUAUUUUUACACUCACAACCUCCAUUUUUCUCUCCUGUUUCAAAUUUGUAUCCCACAAUGCCUUGCGUGAACGGGGAAAGCCCACCACGUGGUGCAUGACGUAGUAUCUUGAAUUGGGUCAUGGUGAAGCAGGAAAAAAUAGCGGAGAAUUUAGGGACACGUGGAAAUAGUCAUUAAUUGUUCUAUUAAAAAAAAACUAAUAAAAUUGGAAGUCUGCGAUUCAAAUUCAGUAGCUUUCGGUCACUAAACAAAGAUAACUGGGCAUUGGGAAAAUUCUAUUUAUGACCCUGAAAGGCAGUCUAGCUUUAAACUUAAGAGCGAGAAUAAAGAGAGACUGGUGAGGGAACCACUGUUUAUAGCUGCUAUAAUGUAAGUAAGAACAGGAAGUAACUUGUCUCACAGACAUUUCAUAACAUUAAAUGUAACUAUUAAUGAAGAAAAAUAGGACGCAUCCUUCUUAAUUUUAAUUGUUUGCAAAUUGCUGUGGUAUCAGAGAAACAAACCACUCCAGGAUCUGCUGUUAUAAAAUAUCUUGAGGGGACGGUAAAGUUUUUGUUUUAUUUUUUUACUGAUUGUAUUACGUGUUUUUCUUUAUGCAGGGAAUCUUGGUACUCAAAAACUAAGGGUUUUGUUUAUUCAAUUUUUCUCUGCAUUACUGCAUUAAACUUCAUCUUCUUCAUCAUCAUCAUCAUCAACUUGAGCUUCACUAUAAUACGGCAGAAACUUCAGAACUUACAGAGGAGUAACACCGAUAAUCAAAAACUCAUACUAUGUGUGAUGUUUAAAAGCCUGGCCCAGUUUUUUAUCCUCGGCUGCCCUUGGAUUCUUUUAGUUUUCUCCAACGAUUAUAGAUCAUCAUAUGUCUGGAUGUUCUUCGCUAGCCAGCAGGGCACCUUCAUCUUCCUGGUCCACUGUCUCUUCAACCAAGAGGUCAGGCAGCAGUACAGGAAGUACCUGGAUGCUUUUUGCUGCGCCAACAAACGUAACACCGCUACAGCAGAUGAGCAGCGACUCAGGGGACAACAUGAACGUCCACAGGGCUGUUCCUCCCAGGGUUACAUUGUCAGUGAUUAGCUGAGCUUUUUCAUAUUUUUGAUGCACAUGUUUUUUUGGUUUAGAACUUUUAUUGCUCUUUUAAUUCAUAUAUAUCUUCUUUUUGAUUUUGGUUUUCUGCAUUGUAAACAAAGAGCAACUUUAAUUUUCUUAUAACUUUACUAAAAUGUCAAUCUGUUAAAAGAUCGAAUCAGGUUAGGAUCAGGAUGUGUGAGGUAUGGAUAUGGAUAUGGACUUGUCAGGUCAGGCAUCAUUUAAUCUGCCAGCAUUUCUGUCUUUUUUGUAAAUAUUUUUAACAUAACAUUUAGAAACAUUACCACAAUAACGCAUCACAUAACAGAGCAAAGCAUUAUUACUGCAAAUGUUUUUAGAAUAUUGCAGAAACGUUAUUUAACAAUUUUUUGCCAAAGGUGAAGUUAAUGUCAGUGAAUAAUAAGUGAGACGAAGUCGAGGUCGAGAUUAUUCUUCACCAAUAUUCACUGAGCCUGAGGCAGAUAAUUGUUUUAGUAUAAUUACACAGGUGAUUAUUUUUUUUAAAAAAUCAUUCAUUUCAAACUUCAAAAGUGGCAUGCAAAUAUGAUAAUGGCACGGCGUAGAUUUGUGUCGCUUCUCUACGCCGAGUCACAUAAAAUCCUUUGUUUUGAAAUCGAUAAAAUAAAUCACAAUCCCACCUUACCUUUGAAUAGUUUCAGACUAAAUUUCUGAGCAAUUUUAGUGUGACGAAGUGAUCAGCCGCCAUUUUGCCGAGUCGCUCGAGGUGAUUAUUGAGAAAUAGUCAGAAUCUCUCAACCAAUCAGAGCACGCGAUUUUCUAUAAUCACCUGUGUAUUUAUACUAAUUUUAGUUACAACGAUAGUUUUUGAAGGACAUGUCAAAUGCGUCUGGACUAGGUUUAGAUUUAGGUAGAGAAUUAUUUAAAAUCAACACCAGGAUUACUGGCACCAUUCAAACAAGUCUAUGAAAUCUAUUUCCACUGAGACAAAUAAUUUCAGAAGAACUGUGUGUGUGUGUGUGUGUGUGUGUGUGUAGAUCAGUUUCUCUCCUCUUCAAUAAAAUGGUAAAUGCAGAUCUGAGAAGAUAAAAGUGAAUAAAUAGAAAAUGUACAUAAUAAUAAUAAUGAUCUUGUUGAGUUGUAAAUGUAUCUACUGCCCCCUGUUGUCCAUCUGCAGCAUUUACACUUCUGUUACUCGAAUCCUCAUAAAUAUCUGUCUCAUCAAGGUUCUCUGUAUAAUAUGCAGGUUGUAACUUGUAAUAAAGUGUUUUAAUUGUGUAUCCCACUUGCACUAAGAUUUUAACCUUAGGCGCCUCAUACUCAUGGGCGGAGUUUGCCUCUUGAGGUUUCUUCCUCAUGUCGUCUGAGGGAGUUUUUCCUUGCCACCGUCACCACAGGCGUGCUCAUUGGGGAUAGAUUAGGGAUAAAAUUAGCUCAUGUUUUAAGUCGUUCAAAUUCUGUAGAGCUGCUUUGCGACAAUGUUUAUUGUUAAAAGCGCUAUACAAAUAAACUUGACUUGACACUCAAGUUGAAUUGAAAAUUGACAACAUAACCAUAGAAAGAGUUUAUGAAAUAAAAUUUCUGGGUGUGAUUGUUGAUCAUAAAGUCUGCUGGAAACCGCAUAUUAAUCAUGUUAAAGCAAAAAUAGCAAAGAUUACUGCAAUUUUGGGGAAAUCAAGACACAUUCUGGACUAUAAAUCACUACAUACUCUGUAUAAUGCACUCAUACUUCCAUAUCUGAGCUACUGUGUGGAGAUAUGGGGUAAUACCUACAAAUCUAACCUGCAGCCGUUAUGCACGUUACAAAAAAGAGCAAUAAGAAUCGUCAAUAAUACGGGAUAUCUUGAGCAUACAAACGCAUUAUUUGUAAAAGCACACACUCUGAAAUUCACGGAUCUGGUUAAACACAAGACUGCACAAAUUAUGUACAAAGCAAGACAUAACCUUCUUCCGGGUGAGGUACAAAAUACGUUUAUGGAAAGGCAGGGUGGGUAUAACCUGAGAGGGGAAAUGAAUUUUAAGAGAGUAAAUGUUAGAACAACUCUGAAAAGUAUGCGCAGAACAGUCUGUGGGGUGAAAUUGUGGAAUGGUCUGGAAAAUGAACUCAAAAAUAGCACCAACAUAAAACUGUUUAAAAAAUUAUAUAAAAACAUGUUAAUAAAAAUAUAUGAGAAUGAGGACAGGCAGACUAUAUAGGUGAUGAUGAAAUUGAGAGUAAGUCUGUGACUGGUCUUCUUGUAUUUAGUGUAUAGUUAUAGGUAUGUGUAUAUGUAUGUACUGUAUAUAUGUAUUGUAUGUGUGUCUAUAUGCAUAACAUAAGUAUCUGUAUAUAUGACUUGAUUUGGUCGAUAUUGUACCAUGUCGGUAUGUUUUGGUAUGUUGGUAUGUUUUCUUUUUUGUUUAUUGGUUUUGUUUUCUUUUGUAUAUAUAGUUUAUUAUGGUGGAAAGUGACAUUUGAUUAGCGGUGGUACAGAGGGUUAGGAUUGGAUAAGUUAUUACUUCUUCCUAAUCCUUUCUGAACAUUGUUAUGUUAUUGCCUUGUGGCUACGCUAUUCUGUUUGUUUAUGAUGAUGUUUUGAUUAUUGUAUUUUUUAUUUAAAUUUUUAUAUCUUCUUUAUUGUUCAGAAUAAAGUAAUCAAUCAAUCA